GCUUUCCAACUGGAAGCUUCUAAGAAGAAUGGCUGGAUGAUUCUGUUUCCUCAGAUGAAAUGAACCGCCUAUUACUUUCUAGGUACAACGAACCCUCUAUUCCCUUCUGCAGUGCUGAAGGGAUUCUUGAGAUCUUAUCCUGAAUAGAACACUGGCAUGCAGUCACCCAGAAGUUUACAGCUAUGAAAGCCUUACAAAUCUCCACUGUCACACAGCCCAGCGUGGACUCGGAUCUGCAUUCAAAGGUCAAUCAGCCCAGAAUCCAAAAAUAACUGCAGAGUUAUGUGCAGGAUCUUCAGAAAUGUCAAAAAGGAAUUCAAUCAUAAUGGAAGACCAAAUUCUUAGGCUCCUCUUUCCAUAGCUCCUUAUCUUGCACUGUGCUGAGUUAUCCCCAAGAAUGUUUCUUCACACUGCCAGGAGCGUCCAAUCUUCAUUGCAACACAAUGGCAUCGUCUACAAA
rnacentral:lncRNA from 1 species